rnacentral:rRNA from 1 species
GAUGAACGCUGGCGGCGUGCCUAAUACAUGCAAGUCGAGCGAAAAGACGAGGAGCUUGUUUCUCUGACGUUAGCGGCGGACGGGUGAGUAACACGUGGAUAACCUACCUUUAAGACUGGGGAAACUCCAGGAAACCGGAGCUAAUAUCGGAUAAUAGAAUGAACCGCAUGGUUCAAUAGUGAAAGACGGUUUUGCUGUCACUUAUAGAUGGAUCUGCGCCGCAUUAUCUAGUUGGUACGGUAACGGCUUACCAAGGCGACGAUGCGUAGCCGACCUGAGAGGGUGAUCGGCCACACUGGAACUGAGACACGGCCCAGACUCCUACGGGAGGCAGCAGUAGGGAAUCUUCCGCAAUGGGCGAAAGCCUGACGGAGCAACGCCGCGUGAGUGAUGAAGGUCUUCGGAUCGUAAAACUCUGUUAUUAGGGAAGAACAAAUGUGUAAGUAACUAUGCACGUCUUGACGGUACCUAAUCAGAAAACCACGGCUAACUACGUG